CUCCACUGUGUCCCAGCAAGACACACGCCUCGUGAUUGACGUCGGAGGCGAGCAAUCAGAAGCCGGAACACAGGACGUCACAGAAAGUGGCCAAGGAAGCCAGAGGGGUGACCUGAGCAGUCUGGUGCUGCUGUGCUAAGAAGUGGCCCAGUUGGGCUGAAUCCCUGGACUUCUGACUCCUCAUCCAGUGCUCGUUCCAGGCUUCCCUCACAGGAGGAAUGGCUGAGCCAGGUUCCAUGGGGUGUGGUACAAGUUGCUCUUGAAAGACCCUGCCUCCCCCAGGCGGACCGCCAGCAGUUGUUCCCCUCGGAGGGGCUUCCUGACUCUCACACAACCCUCACCUUUCUGCCAGUGUGUAAGGAAAAUUAAAACUUGUGCAUCGUCCACGUGGCAGCAUCUUGCCUAGAAUAAUUUCUUGUGGGAAUUCGCAGGAAAUAGAAACAAUUAAAAUCAGUCAUUGCGGGAAUACAUGCUCACGGGGAAGCCACCUUCACCCCCAUCAGUAGCCAGUGCAGGACACGACAGCAAAAUCCAAAUGGUGUAAAGGUCUUAGAUCAACUUUUCGAAAUCUUUGUAAAGGAUACGCUACACUACCCCGUGUGUUAGGAGAAAAAGAAAAUUGGAGAACCCCAUUUACAGGCAGAUCCUCCCAAAUCCCUCCUCUAGCGUUGGUGAUGGUCCAUCCAGGCCCUGUGGAUAAUCCAACAGUGCAGAAACUUCACUAUAUGUGCACAUGUGCACACACGUGUGUCUCUUUCUAGGGGUCCACCCCGGUUUCUGUCUCUUCCCAUCCCCCGCCCCAACUCCCCGAGGGGCUUGAAAGGGCCCCGGGGCCUGUCCGGCUGCACCAGCCCGAGCAAGUUCUGCUGGCUCCCGGGAGACAGCACGGGCCUGGGCUUGGGUCCUGAGGCCCCCUCCUCCCACGUUCCUUGGCAGCAGCCCAGGGGGACUGGUGACAGAAUUCCUGUGAUUCUUAGUGCUGUAGAGGCGGACAGAGAGGGAGCUGCUCCCCCAGUCGUGCUCCUGGAGAACCCAUGAAUACCUGGGGGACUCUGUAGGGCUCAUCUGGGUGGCGCUGGGGAGGUGGCUCAUUCUGAGAGGUGGUGUGGUCCCAGGCAUCCAUCAGCACCUGUACAUGGGUCACAGAUGACCCUGAGGGCCGUUACUCUGCCCCCCUCAAAUACCCCUUGCUUUUGACUCCCAUGAUUUCCUUAAAAUUUUCACUUAGAGAUUCACUCCUUUGCUUAAGACUUUCAUUCAUUCAUCCAUCAUUUAUUCUGAGAUUAUAAGGAUGUAUUCAUCCAACACGUGUUUACUGAGGGGCUAUUCUGGGCCAGGCUGCACACUUGGGUGCUGGGAUAUGUGGUUAAGACAAAGCCUUUCUUCUUGAGAACUUCUCCUGUCAGUGGGGGAGAUAAAAGUGUCACUCAGUGUAAACAACUGAGUGACAACUAUAAGAAGGGAGGUGCUCUCACGAGGCUUGGGUGAGGAGCUACAAGCUCUACUCUCUCUCUGUCUGGGGCAAGGGCAGCUGGGAAGGCUUCACGGAGGAGGUGAGGCUGGAAGUGGCUGUGGAAGACAGGGACAGAAGGAACCCCACCCAAAGCACAUGCGGACACAGAGCACCUCCUGCCCUGGUCCUGCAGCGCGGGUGCGAGACAGGAGUAGGGGGUUGGCAGCGGCAGGCCUUGCUCCCCUUGGUUCACAGCCCCUGCAGCGGAACCCCUGGGUGAUGCCGGCCACCCUCAAGUCACUUCCUCACCGGCGGGUGACACCAGACUCACCCAGAGCAAGUGAGACCAACGCUUUCAACCUCCACUGAGCACACAGACCACCCGGGGGCUUGCUAACAUGCAGACCCUGCCUUUCUCCCAGCUCCCAGGGGUUACCCAGGGUGCAGGUCCUCGGGCCACACUUUGAGUGGCAGGGAUCGACAACUACACAGUGAUCCCUUGAUUCCUCCUGGAACCGACGCCAAGAUGUGUGCUUGAGCCAUCCACCCUGCCUCUAGUCUAUGACUCACUACCGUGUUCCCUUCAGCCUAUAGUGGCCAAGAGCACCAACUCCAGAAGCAGACAGACGUGGGGCCUGUCCCCUGGGCUGUGCGGCCCUGGGCAAGCCUUUAACCCGUCCCAGCCCGCACUCUCCCGGGGCCACGAGGCUGCCUAAGCAACAAAGCACUCCGCGAGCUGCCGGGCACCGCGAGCACCGACGUGCGCUAGCUCUGUGCUUACUACCAAGCCGUUUCCUGUUACAAUGACAGUUGCUCAGUUUGGAGCCCGCUGCGCUUGAGUUCACGUCCCGGCUCAACCACUGACCGGCUGGCCAUGUGACCUCGGGCAAGCCACAGGACCAUCCCACGCUGCAGCUUCCUCCUAUAAAAGGGAGGUAGGAAACCAGCGCUCUCCGGCCCACGGGCUGUGGGGGCGAGGCAGUGAGGCAGGGCGAGGGGAGCAGCGCUCUGGUACCCCAGCAGGAACCAGCUCCCUCAUUCGCUCACACACGCACCUGUUCAUUCAGCACCGCGCACCUGCUCUGUGCCAGGCCUGCUAGGUGCUGAGUUAGAGGCAAAGGUCCCCUGCUCCUGCCCACCACGUCUGCUGCUUCCGCAGUGCUGGAGAGCAGGCGGGCCCAGCGCUCCCUCUCUGGGCCCCGGUGAAUCCAGCAUCUCACAUGCCGAGAGUCCUGCAGAAAGCCCAAGCGCCACAAGGCAGGGGCGAGCUUUGGCACCAGCGGGCUCAGAAAGAGUGCAGAGUCUUCUGGAGAUGCCUAUCUAGAGAAACAGAGGAACCUGCAGGUGCAGACAUGUUUGGGACAUCCCCAUGGAGUGCCAAGGCCAGGCUGCCGUGUACAGCCUCCGAGCCUCGGCCUCCCAAGUGGCCCGGCCACUCCUGAACCAAGAGCAGGGCAGGACAGGGCGUGCGGCCUGCAGGGUGUGGGGCUGGGAGUGAGGGAGCCAUGGCAAGGAAACCUCUUCCGACGUUUCCUGGAAUCCCUGCCUGCAACCUCCUUACCUGGGGAGUGCAGCUCAGGUUGGGACACCACGUUGUAAGGCUAGAGACCACUGGGGACCCCCUCGGAGAGCAGGAGCCAGUGGUGGUGGCAGCAGGGGUACAUACAAGAGCUAGAGUUGAUGAACUUUGAGAAAAUACAACAUGCAAGAACCUUGUCUUCCGAGACUUGAAAAGUUACGUGAGUGAAGGAUUUGACAACCAGCCUUGUUCUUGGGGACACCAAGGGUUCGGAUCGGGGAGAUGCCAGGAAGAGUUGGUCUCCAAUUUUUGGAUAUUUUUUUCUGGUUAUAAAUGUUAAACAUGCUCAUCACAGAAACUUUGGAGAAUAUACAGAAGUAUAAAGAAGAUAAUAAAAGAAAAAUAGAGCCCUACAAUGUGGGGCUGGCCACAGCUAACACGGCCCAGCAGAGCUCCUCACCCCUGUGAUGUACCCUGGCAUUCCCAAGGGACACGGCUCCCGCCCUCAGGUGGCCUGGCUCCCAUGCGAGGGUGGUCCUUGGGUUGGAAUCGCAACAGCGUGCAGGAGUAUCCGACGGCUACAGGUAUCGUCCUGUGUGAUAAGCAACCUCAGACUUUCCCCGGCUUGUGUGGGUUAAGCAUUUAUUUCCCUCUGGUGGGGCUGUGGAGUGCUGAGGAUUGAACGAUGUAGGUUGAUCCGAGCUGCAGGUUGGGUCCCUGUCUGCCCCUCCUGGAAGCAGGGGCUCCCAGAGACCCAGGUGGCCGCACUGGCGGGUGGUAAGCUCACAGCACAGUCAUGCUUGAAGCCUCUGCUUGUGUCACAAUCCCUGACAUCUUAUUGGUCAGAACAAGUCACAUGGCCAACCCCAAGUCAAGAGGUGAGAUGACUGCUCUGUCCACCUGGAGGCUCUGGCCGGGCUGCAGGUGUAUGCUGCUGCCACAGGGGGUGGACACCGUGGGCCGGUUGUCCAGUCUACCACAACAGGUGGGUCUGAUAUUUGCUGCUCCCCUACAGGGUCUUGAUUCUCCCACUUAGAAGCAUUGCUUUGGCGUAUUUCCUUCCCCUCUUACAUAUAUAGAUUAUAUACAUAUAUAAUUUUUACUAAAUUGGGUUAUAUUCUACUUUUUUUAACCUCUAAUUUUUUCACUUCACAUUACACCCUAUAGAUAUUUUUUCUUACAUUGAAUAUUUUUGAAAGCACGUGGCUGCAGAAUCAUAAAAUCAUAAAGUUUUGGCAUAAUUUAUUGAUCUCUUCCUCUGGGAUAUUUAGGUCUUCCCAAUUUGCACUUCUAUAAAUAGCAAUGGGAUGAACGUCUUUGCGCAGAAACUUGGUUGGCAGCUGUCACAGGCAUUUCUGAUGUCUGCUUGCUCAGCGCCAGGUCCCAGCUCCCCUUGAUAACAGAGCCCUGAUUUCCCUUUGGGGGAACCACCCGUCCCCUUCUGUCAGUCCACGAAGUUCUUGUGGCAGCCACCGCCGGCUCCGGGGAACGACCUCCAGCCAUGAAAGACAUUCCAUCUCGCUGACACUCAAAGGCUGGCCCCCUGCCACGGUACAGAGAGAGAUCAGAUCAGGAAUGGACAUGGAGUCUCAGCCUGGCCAGUUAGUGAUGUCUAAAGAGAGGCGCAGGACCCAGGGUGAUCCAAUCGGAGCGGAUCCUGGGACCUGCUGGGAGUAUCUGGGGAUGGACAUACUCUUUUCUCCUCUGGUUUCAACUUCAGAGGGUGCAGGGCUGAGGGUGCUGGCAGCCACCUGUUUGUGCCGAACCUGAGGGUAAAAGCAAGAUGUAGGCUAGCAGAGCCCAGAGAGGGAGAGAGAUGAUUCUGUCGCCAUGGCACUCCUGGCGAAGUUGCCUCAAGCAAGGAUCCCCUGUCUUUCCAGGUUCAGAACUUAAUGUAGUAUGGUUUUUUCUGAAGCCGAGUAAAGCUUUCUAUCACUUUGAACCAAAUAGCUCUGGUU